ACUUGUCUUUUCAGUUUUCAUGGUUUUAAAUAUUCAAAUUAUUUUUUGAAAACCAUUUUCAUUAAUGAUUUUGCUUUAAAAGAGAAGGUUUGUUCAUUGCAUUAAUGACCCCCUUUACUCUUAAUCUCUCUCUCCCACUUCCCACCUUCGGCGCACCCUUUAUCUUCCCUUCUCCAUUCUUUUCUCUCAAAUAUGAGGAAGAAGAUUGCUACAAGAAGCACCGGAGCAUACAUUCCUUCCAAAAAUCCUCCUCAUUCCAAGUAACCACAGUUACACACACAUACACAUUCACUCACACUCCUCUUUUUUUCAUUCUUCACUAUCAUCCGAAUCCAUGGCAAGGAAGGUUGUUCACCAAAAGGGGUCUUCGGCUCAAAAAGAGACAGCAUCUUCCCAUGGUAAAAGUGCAAAGGAAGAGGAAGCCCCACCGUCACCUCCUCCUUGCCGCUCAGCUCCUCACCCCACUGGCCGUUCUGCUCCUAGUCAUCAUCCUUCUCGAGGUCCAAAACGCUCUAUUCUUCAAAAUACAAGGGAGCCCCUAAUCUCGAGUCUCUGGACUUCAAAUAGAAAUAUGGAUAAUCAAAGCACAUAUUGCGGGGGAGCAUAUUGAACAUAACAAAGGGGGAGAAAUAUGCGAAUCUUCAAAGGAAAGUAUUCUAUCCUAAUGUUUUCAAUUCAUUAUAAUAAUGUUUGUCAUCAAGGGGGAGAUUGUUGAGUUUAAAAAACUAAUAUUAAAUUAAUAUGAUGAACAAAUAUUAUUAAAAGUAUUAUUAAGUGAUUAAUAAAUUGUUUCCAAUUGUUUGUUUGAUGAAUUUGGUUUGUGUGUAGGAAAGAAAAUUAUUUUUUCUCGCCCAGUUAUUACAAGCAUAGUUUGACCAUUAAACAAGUUUAGCCUAAUACAAAUUUAUUUUAAAUCAUGUGGCUAAACUUUAGAAGGGUAGUAAAACCAAUUGGCCCAAGAAAUAAAUGUAAAGCCCAAGUCAACACUACUUUUGGUCCAAACAUAUCCUUAAUCCAAAAUAAAAGAAAAGAAGGAAAUGGACCCAGCAUUCUUCGGUUACCUACUCUUUUGGUUCAAGUAACACAUUUUCCAAGUUUCAACUCAAUUUAAUUUUAUUGAGACUUCCACCAAAAGCUAUUCUCUCUUCUCUCUCCUCUUUGUUGCUUUGGUCAAAUCAUUCAUUCAUCAAAGAAGAAGAAAGAAGGAAAUGGAAUGCUCAGAGGUUAGAUUAUGGAUGAUGGGAAAAACAUUUUUGCCAAAUCAAAGCAAAGUAAAGAAGGCUACAAUCCAGUAGCUAGACCUCUCGGUCAAGCACCACAAAAAGUUUCUUUUCCCUUUGUGCUUCACCAAGGAUCAAAGAAAAAAGCUUCAAGGUCUCAAGCAUGGAAAAAGCAACAAUGGAGAACGUGAAGCCAUCUUGGGUCAGAAGCAAAUCAACGCUCAGAAUUAAAACUUGGGGUCAAAGUCAAGUUCAAUGGUCAAGAUUGAAGAAGCUUGAAGAAAAAGGAUGAGAGAAAAGAGGUGAGCAUGCAUGCAAUAGCCUCGGUCCUCUCCCUCCUCUCUGUUGAGCCGUUGCUACUCUGAUGUUGAAGAAGAAGAAAGUGUGAGAGUUGAACUUGUUUCAACCUUGGAAGCUUCACCCUUCUAUAUUAAGGGUGAACGGCCAAGGGUUGAAGGCAAGGAGAAUAAGUGAAAAAUACAGAAUUCACUCUCAUAGCUACCCAAACUUUAGAGUUCUUUUCCUUCAUGUAGUUUAUUUUGUAUUUUCUUUUUCGCUACCCAAACUUUAGAGUUCUUUUCCUUCAUGUAGUUUAUUUUGUAUUUUCUUUUUCUCAGUGUGGAUCUAUCUGAGUCUCAUUGUGUGAAGUUUGUAAGAAAAAGUUAACGAGAGGUAAAAGGCAGUGAGUUAAAACAAUGAGAAAAAACCAUAAGAUGUUUCAGAGAUUCUUUGUACAUCUUUAUGUUUUGUGUCAUAAUUCUAUAGAGAUCCCGUUUCAAGUUGAGUUAGUACUUUGCCGU